AUUGAACGCUGGCGGCAUGCUUUACACAUGCAAGUCGAACGGCAGCGCGGGCUUCGGCCUGGCGGCGAGUGGCGAACGGGUGAGUAAUGCAUCGGAACGUGCCCAGUAGCGGGGGAUAGCCCGGCGAAAGCCGGAUUAAUACCGCAUACGACCUGAGGGUGAAAGCGGGGGACCGAAAGGCCUCGCGCUAUUGGAGCGGCCGAUGUCGGAUUAGCUAGUUGGUGGGGUAAAGGCUUACCAAGGCGACGAUCCGUAGCUGGUCUGAGAGGACGACCAGCCACACUGGGACUGAGACACGGCCCAGACUCCUACGGGAGGCAGCAGUGGGGAAUUUUGGACAAUGGGGGCAACCCUGAUCCAGCCAUGCCGCGUGCGGGAAGAAGGCCUUCGGGUUGUAAACCGCUUUUGUUCGGGAAGAAAUCCUCUGGGCUAAUACCCCGGGGGGAUGACGGUACCGGAAGAAUAAGCACCGGCUAACUACGUG
rnacentral:rRNA from 1 species